CCUACGGGAGGCAGCAGUGAGGAAUAUUGGUCAAUGGACGAGAGUCUGAACCAGCCAAGUAGCGUGAAGGAUGACUGCCCUAUGGGUUGUAAACUUCUUUUAUAUGGGAAUAAAACGUUCCACGUGUGGGAUUUUGUAUGUACCAUAUGAAUAAGGAUCGGCUAACUCCGUGCCAGCAGCCGCGGUAAUACGGAGGAUCCGAGCGUUAUCCGGAUUUAUUGGGUUUAAAGGGAGCGUAGGUGGAUUGUUAAAUCAGUUGUGAAAGUUUGCGGCUCAACCGUAAAAUUGCAGUUGAAACUGGCAGUCUUGAGUACAGUAGAGGUGGGCUGAAUUCGUGGUGUAGCGGUGAAAUGCUUAGAUAUCACGAAGAACUCCGAUUGCGAAGGCAGUUCACUGGACUGCAACUGACACUGAGGCUCGAAAGUGUGGGUAUCAAACAGGAUUAGAUACACGAGUAGUC
rnacentral:rRNA from 1 species